AUUGAACGCUGGCGGCAGGCUUAACACAUGCAAGUCGAGCGGAGAUGAGGUGCUUGCACCUUAUCUUAGCGGCGGACGGGUGAGUAAUGCUUAGGAAUCUGCCUAUUAGUGGGGGACAACAUUCCGAAAGGAAAGCUAAUACCGCAUACGUCCUACGGGAGAAAGCAGGGGAUCUUCGGACCUUGCGCUAAUAGAUGAGCCUAAGUCGGAUUAGCUAGUUGGUGGGGUAAAGGCCUACCAAGGCGACGAUCUGUAGCGGGUCUGAGAGGAUGAUCGGCCGCCCUGGGACUGGGACACGGCCCAGACUCCUACGGGAGGCAGCAGUGGGGAAUAUUGGACAAUGGGGGGAACCCUGAUCCAGCCAUGCCGCGUGUGUGAAGAAGGCCUUAUGGUUGUAAAGCACUUUAAGCGAGGAGGAGGCUACUGAGACUAAUACUCUUGGAUAGUGGACGUUACUCGCAGAAUAAGCACCGGCUAACUCUGUGCCAGCCGCCGCCGUAACAC
rnacentral:rRNA from 1 species